rnacentral:rRNA from 1 species
UACGUAGGGUGCAAGCGUUGUCCGGAAUUAUUGGGCGUAAAGAGCUCGUAGGCGGUCUGUCGCGUCUGCUGUGAAAACUCGGGGCUUAACCCCGGGCCUGCAGUGGGUACGGGCAGACUAGAGUGCGGUAGGGGAGACUGGAAUUCCUGGUGUAGCGGUGAAAUGCGCAGAUAUCAGGAGGAACACCGGUGGCGAAGGCGGGUCUCUGGGCCGUAACUGACGCUGAGGAGCGAAAGCUUGGGGAGCGAACAGG